rnacentral:rRNA from 1 species
UGGCGGACGGUGAGUAACGCGUGGGCGACCUGCCUUACACAGGGGGACAACAGCCGGAAACGGCUGCUAAUACCGCAUAAGCGCACAGUUUCGCAUGGAACAGUGUGAAAAACUCCGGUGGUGUAAGAUGGGCCCGCGUCUGAUUAGCUUGUUGGCGGGGUAACGGCCCACCAAGGCGACGAUCAGUAGCCGACCUAAGAGGGUGACCGGCCACAUUGGGACUGAGACACGGCCCAAACUCCUACGGAAGGCAGCAG